ACAUUGAGUGUGGAUAUCUUGCUCUUUAAAACAAAGUUCAUUUUUAGGGCAGUAUUGCAACAGAAUUGCCACACAAAAACCAGCGUAAGAAAUGUACAGCACUUCAAUUUUUUUAUAACAAGAGUAAUCCACAGACUUAAAACAUGAGCUCAGAUGCCAGCCAAGGUGUGAUUACCACUCCUCCUCCUCCCAGCAUGCCUCACAAAGAGAGAUAUUUUGACCGCAUCAAUGAAAAUGACCCAGAAUACAUUAGGGAGAGGAACAUGUCUCCUGAUCUACGACAAGACUUCAACAUGAUGGAGCAGAGGAAACGAGUUACUCAGAUCCUGCAAAGUCCUGCCUUUCGGGAAGACUUGGAAUGCCUUAUUCAAGAACAGAUGAAGAAAGGCCACAACCCAACUGGAUUACUAGCAUUACAGCAGAUUGCAGAUUACAUCAUGGCCAAUUCUUUCUCGGGUUUUUCUUCACCUCCUCUCAGUCUUGGCAUGGUCACACCUAUCAAUGACCUUCCUGGUGCAGAUACAUCCUCAUAUGUGAAGGGAGAAAAACUUACUCGCUGUAAACUUGCCAGCCUGUACAGACUUGUAGACUUGUUUGGAUGGGCACACCUGGCAAAUACCUAUAUCUCAGUAAGAAUAAGUAAGGAGCAAGACCACAUUAUAAUAAUUCCCAGAGGCCUAUCU
rnacentral:sRNA from 1 species